rnacentral:rRNA from 1 species
GGUUAAGCGACUAAGCGUACACGGUGGAUGCCCUGGCAGUCAGAGGCGAUGAAGGACGUGCUAAUCUGCGAUAAGCGCCGGUAAGGUGAUAUGAACCGUUAUAACCGGCGAUUUCCGAAUGGGGAAACCCAGUGUGACUCGUCACACUAUCAUUAACUGAAUCCAUAGGUUAAUGAGGCGAACCGGGGGAACUGAAACAUCUAAGUACCCCGAGGAAAAGAAAUCAACCGAGAUUCCCCCAGUAGCGGCGAGCGAACGGGGAGGAGCCCAGAGCCUGAAUCAGCAUGUGUGUUAGUGGAAGCGUCUGGAAAGGCGCGCGAUACAGGGUGACAGCCCCGUACACAAAAGCGCAUGUGCUGUGAGCUCGAUGAGUAGGGCGGGACACGUGGUAUCCUGUCUGAAUAUGGGGGGACCAUCCUCCAAGGCUAAAUACUCCUGACUGACCGAUAGUGAACCAGUACCGUGAGGGAAAGGCGAAAAGAACCCCGGCGAGGGGAGUGAAAAAGAACCUGAAACCGUGUACGUACAAGCAGUGGGAGCACAGGUUUACCUGUGUGACUGCGUACCUUUUGUAUAAUGGGUCAGCGACUUAUAUUCUGUAGCAAGGUUAACCGAAUAGGGGAGCCGGAGGGAAACCGAGUCUUAACCGGGCGUUAAGUUGCAGGGUAUAGACCCGAAACCCGGUGAUCUAGCCAUGGGCAGGUUGAAGGUUGGGUAACACUAACUGGAGGAAUGCGAACCGACUAAUGUUGAAAAAUUAGCGGAUGACCUGUGGCUGGGGGUGAAAGGCCAAUCAAACCGGGAGAUAGCUGGUUCUCCCCGAAAGCUAUUUAGGUAGCGCCUCGUGAAUUCAUCUCCGGGGGUAGAGCACUGUUUCGGCUAGGGGGCCAUCCCGGCUUACCAACCCGAUGCAAACUGCGAAUACCGGAGAAUGUUAUCACGGGAGACACACGGCGGGUGCUAACGUCCGUCGUGAAGAGGGAAACAACCCAGACCGCCAGCUAAGGUCCCAAAGUCAUGGUUAAGUGGGAAACGAUGUGGGAAGGCCCAGACAGCCAGGAUGUUGGCUUAGAAGCAGCCAUCAUUUAAAGAAAGCGUAAUAGCUCACUGGUCGAGUCGGCCUGCGCGGAAGAUGUAACGGGGCUAAACCAUGCACCGAAGCUGCGGCAGCGAACGUAUCACUUAAAGCGAUUCAGCGGGUUACGAUUGACGGAGCGAAGCGACGUCAAAGCGUAUACAAAGUCGAGUCGGUUUAAGGAUACGUUCGUUGGGUAGGGGAGCGUUCUGUAAGCCUGUGAAGGUGUGUCGUGAGGCAUGCUGGAGGUAUCAGAAGUGCGAAUGCUGACAUAAGUAACGAUAAAGCGGGUGAAAAGCCCGCUCGCCGGAAGACCAAGGGUUCCUGUCCAACGUUAAUCGGGGCAGGGUGAGUCGACCCCUAAGGCGAGGCCGAAAGGCGUAGUCGAUGGGAAACGGGUUAAUAUUCCCGUACUUGGUGUUACUGCGAAGGGGGGACGGAGAAGGCUAUGUUGGCCGGGCGACGGUUGUCCCGGUUUAAGCGUGUAGGUGUGUGUUCCAGGUAAAUCCGGUUCACUUUAACACUGAGGCGUGAUGACGAGGCACUACGGUGCUGAAGCAACAAAUGCCCUGCUUCCAGGAAAAGCCUCUAAGCAUCAGGUAACAUCAAAUCGUACCCCAAACCGACACAGGUGGUCAGGUAGAGAAUACCAAGGCGCUUGAGAGAACUCGGGUGAAGGAACUAGGCAAAAUGGUGCCGUAACUUCGGGAGAAGGCACGCUGACAUGUAGGUGAAGUGAUUUACUCAUGGAGCUGAAGUCAGUCGAAGAUACCAGCUGGCUGCAACUGUUUAUUAAAAACACAGCACUGUGCAAACACGAAAGUGGACGUAUACGGUGUGACGCCUGCCCGGUGCCGGAAGGUUAAUUGAUGGGGUCAGCGCAAGCGAAGCUCCUGAUCGAAGCCCCGGUAAACGGCGGCCGUAACUAUAACGGUCCUAAGGUAGCGAAAUUCCUUGUCGGGUAAGUUCCGACCUGCACGAAUGGCGUAAUGAUGGCCAGGCUGUCUCCACCCGAGACUCAGUGAAAUUGAACUCGCUGUGAAGAUGCAGUGUACCCGCGGCAAGACGGAAAGACCCCGUGAACCUUUACUAUAGCUUGACACUGAACAUUGAGCCUUGAUGUGUAGGAUAGGUGGGAGGCUUUGAAGCGUGGACGCCAGUCUGCGUGGAGCCGACCUUGAAAUACCACCCUUUAAUGUUUGAUGUUCUAACGUGGACCCGUAAUCCGGGUUGCGGACAGUGUCUGGUGGGUAGUUUGACUGGGGCGGUCUCCUCCUAAAGAGUAACGGAGGAGCACGAAGGUUGGCUAAUCCUGGUCGGACAUCAGGAGGUUAGUGCAAUGGCAUAAGCCAGCUUGACUGCGAGCGUGACGGCGCGAGCAGGUGCGAAAGCAGGUCAUAGUGAUCCGGUGGUUCUGAAUGGAAGGGCCAUCGCUCAACGGAUAAAAAGGUACUCCGGGGAUAACAGGCUGAUACCGCCCAAGAGUUCAUAUCGACGGCGGUGUUUGGCACCUCGAUGUCGGCUCAUCACAUCCUGGGGCUGAAGUAGGUCCCAAGGGUAUGGCUGUUCGCCAUUUAAAGUGGUACGCGAGCUGGGUUUAGAACGUCGUGAGACAGUUCGAUUCCUAUCUGCCGUGGGCGCUGGAGAACUGAGGGGGCUGCUCCUAGUACGAGAGGACCGGAGUGGACGCAUCACUGGUGUUCGGGUUGUCAUGCCAAUGGCACUGCCCGGUAGCUAAAUGCGGAAGAGAUAAGUGCUGAAAGCAUCUAAGCACGAAACUUGCCCCGAGAUGAGUUCUCCCUGAGACUUAGAGUCUCCUGAAGGAACGUUGAAGACGACGACGUUGAUAGGCCGGGUGUGUAAGCGCAGCGAUGCGUUGAGCUAACCGGUACUAAUGAACCGUGAGGCUUAACCUU